AUGGCAGGUCGCGGAGCGGCCGCGGCAGCGGGCGCCUUGGUGCUCCUCGUCAUCUUAGCCGCCUCCUCGCCUGCAGCCGCCGCCCACGUCGACGAAGCAGCUGAGCAUGGUGCGCGGGGGCUGACGCGGCGGACGGAGGCUGAUGUGCGGGCGAUGUUCGACGCGUGGCUGGCGCGGCACGGCCGCUCGUACAACGCGCUCGCCGAGUACGUCCGUCGGCUCCGCGCGUUCCGGGACAACCUCGACUUCGUCGAAGCGCACAACGCUCGUGCUGCGCAGCGCGGCGGGUUCCGCCUCGGGAUGAACCGCUUCGCCGACCUCACCAACGCCGAGUUCCGCGCCGCCUACCUCGGCGCCGGCGCCGCUGGCAGGGCCCGCAACGCCGUCGGCGAUCGCUACAGGUACCAUGCCGAGGACGUGCUGCCGGAGUCCGUGGACUGGAGGGAGAAGGGCGCGGUCGCGCCCGUCAAGAACCAGGGCCAUUGCGGCAGCUGCUGGGCGUUCUCCACGGUCGCCGCGGUGGAAGGCGUCAACAAGAUGGUCACCGGGAAGCUCGUGAAGCUGUCGGAACAGGAGCUCGUGGACUGCUCGCGCAACGGGCAGAACAGCGGGUGCAACGGCGGCAUCAUGGACGACGCCUUCGACUUCAUCGUCCGGAACGGCGGCAUCGACACCGAGGAGGACUACCCCUACACCGCCAAGGAGGGCAAGUGCGACCUCGCCAAGAAGGCCCGCAAGGUCGUCUCCAUCGACGGCUUCGAGGACGUGCCCGCCGACGACGAGGCGUCGCUGAUGAAGGCCGUGGCGCACCAGCCGGUGAGCGUCGCCAUCGAGGCGGGCGGGCGUGAGUUCCAGCUCUACGAGUCCGGGGUCUUCACGGGCCGGUGCGGCACGGAGCUAGACCACGCCGUUCUGGCCGUGGGCUACGGCACGGAGGCGGACGGCGGCAAGGGCUUCUGGCUCGUGCGCAACUCGUGGGGUCCGGGCUGGGGCGAGGGCGGCUACAUCCGGAUGGAGCGCAACGUGACGGCAAGCUCCGGCAAGUGCGGCAUCGCCAUGUUCGCGUCCUACCCCGUCAAGAACGGGCCCAACCCGAAGCCGGCACCACCGGCGCCGGAGGAGAAGUGCGACCGCUACAGCUCGUGCCCGGCGGGGAGCACGUGCUGCUGCACGUACGGCGUGAGGAACGUGUGCCUUGCGUGGGGAUGCUGCCCGGCCGAGGGCGCCACCUGUUGCAGGGACCGGGGCACCUGCUGCCCGUCGGACUACCCCGUCUGCAACGCUGGGAGCCGCACCUGCGCCAAGAGCAAAGGAAGUCCGUACACCGUGGAUGCGCUGCCGCGCACGCCGGCAAAGCGACAGAGGACGGCGGUCUCAGAUCUUGUUGAUUCGAUCUUUUCGAUCUAG
rnacentral:rRNA from 1 species